rnacentral:rRNA from 1 species
ACGUAGGGUGCGAGCGUUGUCCGGAAUUACUGGGCGUAAAGAGCUCGUAGGCGGUUUGUCAAGUCGUCUGUGAAAUCCUAGGGCUUAACCUUGAACGUGCAGGUGAUACGGGCGGACUUGAGUACUGCAGGGGGGACUGGAAUUUCUGGUGUAGCGGUGAAAUGCACAGAUAUCAGGAGGAACACCGAUGGCGAAGGCAGCUCGCUGGGUAGUAACUGACGCUGAGGAGCGAAAGCAUGGGUAGCGAACAG